AUUGAACGCUGGCGGCAGGCCUAACACAUGCAAGUCGAGCGGAGCGGCGGACGGGUGAGUAAUGCCUAGGAAUCUGCCUGGUAGUGGGGGAUAACGUCCGGAAACGGGCGCUAAUACCGCAUACUAGCAGAUGAGCCUAGGUCGGAUUAGGUAGUGGGUGGGGUCAAGGCCUACCAAGGCGAGGAUCCGUAACUGGUCGAAAAGGAUGAUCAGUCACACUGGAACGGAGACACGGUCCAUACUCCUACGGGAGGCAGCAGGGGGGAAUAUUGGACAAUGGGCGAAAGCCUGAACCAGCCAUGCCGCGUGUGUGAAGAAGGUCUUCGGAUUGUAAAGCACUUUAAGUUGGGAGGCGUUCCCAACAGAAUAAGCACCGGCUAACUUCGUGCCAGCAGCCGCGGUAAUAC
rnacentral:rRNA from 1 species